rnacentral:rRNA from 1 species
UGAAUACGAGACGCUAAGGCGUCGAAGUAGUGUAUGUCAUACUUCCAAGAAAAGCUUGCACUGUCAUAGAUAAAAAACGCCUGUACCAUAACCGACACAGGUGGGUAGGUAGAGUAUACUAAGGGGCGCGAGAUAACUCUCUCUAAGGAACUCGGCAAAAUAACUCCGUAACUUCGGGAGAAGGAGUGCCUUAUUCGUAGGGUUGCAAUAACAAGAUCCAAGCAACUGUUUAUCAAAAACACAGGUCUCCGCUAAGUCGUAAGACGAUGUAUGGGGGCUGACGCCUGCCCAGUGCCAGAAGGUUAAAGAAGUUGGUUAGCAAUUGCGAAGCUGAUAACUGAAGCCCUGGUGAACGGCGGCCGUAACUAUAACGGUCCUAAGGUAGCGAAAUUCCUUGUCGGGUAAGUUCCGACCCGCACGAAAGGCGUAAUGAUUUGGAUACUGUCUCGGAGAGGGGCUCGGUGAAAUAGACUUGUCUGUGGAGAUGCGGACUACCUGCACCAGGACAGAAAGACCCUAUGAAGCUUUACUGUAACUUGAAAUUGAAAUUGGACUUUAUUCGCGCAGUAUAGGUGGGAGGCGUUGAUUAUAAUCUUGUGGGAUUAUUGGAGCCAUCAGUGAGAUACCACUCUUGUAAUGUUAGAUUUCUAACUUUGAAUCAUUAUCUGGUCAAAGAACAGUUUCAGGCGGGCAGUUUGACUGGGGCGGUCGCCUCCUAAACGGUAACGGAGGCGUACAAAGGUUUCCUCUGAACGGUUAGAAAUCGUAUCUAGAGUGUAAAGGCAUAAGGAAGCUUGACUGUGAGACCUACAAGUCGAGCAGGGACGAAAGUCGGUCUUAGUGAUCUGACGGUACUGAGUGGAAAGGCCGUCACUCAACGGAUAAAAGUUACUCUAAGGAUAACAGGCUGAUCUCCCCCAAGAGUUCACAUCGACGGGGAGGUUUGGCACCUCGAUGUCGGCUCAUCGCAUCCUGGGGCGGUAGUACGUCCCAAGGGUUGGGCUGUUCGCCCAUGAAAGCGGUACGCGAGCUGGGUUCAGAACGUCGUGAGACAGUUCGGUCCAUAUCCGGUGUAGGCGUUAGAAUAUUGAGAGGAGCCUUCUUUAGUACGAGAGGACCGAGAAGGACAUACCUCUGGUGUACCAGUUAUCGUGCCAACGGUAAACGCUGGGUAGCUAUGUAUGGAGUGGAUAACCGCUGAAAGCAUCUAAGUGGGAAGCCCACCUCAAGAUAAGUAUUC